GUAGUCUCGCACAGAUGCAUAUCAAUAAGCGGAGGAAAAGAAACUAACAAGGAUUCCCCUAGUAACGGCGAGUGAAGCGGGAAGAGCUCAAAUUUGAAAUCUUAAAGGGUUUCCCUUUACGAAUUGUAGUUUAAAGAAGUGUUUUCUGUUGAGGUUUUGGUAAAAGUUCUUUGGAAUAGGACAUCAUAGAGGGUGAGAAUCCCGUAUUUGACCUUUACUUUCAACUUUGUGAUACACUUUCAAAGAGUCGGAUUGUUUGGGAAUGCAGUCCAAAAUGGGUGGUAAAUUUCAUCUAAAGCUAAAUAUUGGCGAGAGACCGAUAGCGAACAAGUACCGUGAGGGAAAGAUGAAAAGAACUUUGAAAAGAGAGUUAAACAGUACGUGAAAUUGUCAAAAGGGAAGCGUUUGACACCAGUGUUGUUUUUCUGAAAAUCAAUUAAAGAACUGUUUAUGCUAAGCUGUUUAGACUUUAUCAGCUAUCUGUUUAGUCUUUGAGCUUUUCUUUAAUGCACUUUUCAGUCAACAAGUCAACAUCAAUUUCUUUUGCUGUAAAAAAGCUUGAGGAAGGUGGCUUGAGAUUCGUCUUAAGUGUUUAUAGCCUCUUGCCUAUGCAGUCGGAGAGAUUGAGGUCUGCAGCGUAGAUCCUUCGGGGCUAAAUGCAUUUGUGCUAAGUUAUAGCAUUUUAUAGACAACUUGUUGACUAUGAUUUGUCUUGUAGCUUACUCGCUUAUGUUAUUUUACCUACGCUUAGGAUGUUGAAGACUCUACAGAGAUA
rnacentral:rRNA from 1 species